rnacentral:lncRNA from 1 species
CCUACUGGAAUUUCAUGAGAAAUGAAUAUUUAUAUUUUAUUUAGGACAUUGGAAUUAAUUGGGUACGUCCAAAUGAUUACCUUGAGGAAAUGGUCGCUGCAAAUGCAUUAUUGGAAUUUAGUGUGUACAGAGUCUGAAAAUAAUGAUUGAGACGUCCUUUUAAUGCCAGGAACUUACAAUAUUGUUGAUUUGUUGUACUAGCAGAUUCAACAUUCCAAUGACUUUCUCAACUAAUAAAAAAAUAAAAAUAAAAUCCAAUGGCCAGCACCCAGCAAGUGGAUGACCAACUGAUCCCUCGUGAUCCACGAAUACUCAACCAGAAGAAAUCACGGCCUUAAUACGAGGUUACAAGGCUACCAUCCUUGUUGAUCCGAAGAAGGUAUUCUCUACCCGCCAAGCCUGCUUUCGAAGACAAACGUCACAAACCCGUAGUUAUUUUCACAUUAGUACGUAUCACAACUUCACAGGCGAUUCUCGGUGGUGCAGACGCACCAACGUUUCCACCAACAAUUUUCUUGUGCAAAUUCCUCCGAUCUCUAAUCCCUUCCUUUGAUCCGGUGUCGGCACGGCCGUUAAUUUGGUCGCAUAUCGCACAGGCCACUACAAACAAAACCUUACCUUAUCCUGCACCCGCACACGCCACACUUCCAAAACCCUGAUUAAACCCCACGUUUAAUUCGCUUAACCAGAUUCAGUCACCGUCAAGAGGGAACAUGUCGCCACUGCCUCGCUCGACACUCAAUCCUCCAUCAAUUAUUAUUACUCCUCCUCCGUCCUGGCUCCUGAUCGGCACCCGUUUGUCGCUGGAUAUAUCGAUCAUCCGGCAUGGAAAGGGACGCGCUCUGCCUGCUUUGCUUUGGGCUGCUGGCUCCAUCGGUGCACUGAACUUGGGCAGGACGGUAUAGAGGCACUAGAGGAAAAGCGGCAGGG